AAUAUUGCACAAUGGGCGCAAGCCUGAUGCAGCAACGCCGUGUGAGUGAAGAAGGUUUCGGAUCGUAAAACUCUGUCCUAAGGGAAGAAACAAAUGACGGUACCUUAGGAGGAAGCCCCGGCUAACUACGUGCCAGCAGCCGCGGUAAUACGUAGGGGGCAAGCGUUAUCCGGAAUCACUGGGCGUAAAGGGUGCGUAGGCGGCUUAGCAAGCCAGGGGUGAAAGGCAUUGGCUCAACCAAUGUAAGCCUUUGGAACUGUUAAGCUUGAGUGCAGGAGAGGUAAGUGGAAUUCCUAGUGUAGAGGUGAAAUUCGUAGAUAUUAGGAGGAACACCAGUGGCGAAGGCGACUUACUGGACUGUAACUGACGCUGAUGCACGAAAGCGUGGGUAGCGAACAGGAUUAGAUACCCUGGUAG
rnacentral:rRNA from 1 species